UUUUCUUUGUCUUGGCAGACCAAGAGAGAACAGUCUGGUGACAACUGGAGUUUCCCAGACAGGCAGGAGGCCUCGUUCUGCACCCGAUGGAGAUUUGGAUCCCCAGAUAUAUGCAAGAUAAGUCAAGGGCUACAACCCACAGAGGGCAUGGAAGCGAGGUGCCAGGUUGGGAGUCCCCAGGAGGGGUUUUUGAGUCAGUUUUGGAUACGGGGAUGUCUAAGAAGCGUCUCCUUAGGCCAGCUGAAGGGAAAGUGUCUGUUUUGAUCACAGUGCUGAGGUGCGCAGGGCAGAGCAGUUCUGGUGUGUGUUCUGUCACUUGUCUCUGGUGCACUCUGUGUUCUUUGGGUCUCUCAGUCCUUUCUUCUCAUCAAAAGCUCUCCCUCCCUGUUCUGUCUCCUGGUUUGUCAUGUCCUGUCCUGUGUCACGGGUGUCUGCACAUAUUUGUACCGGAGCUGCUCUGCCCUGCUGUGUAGCCUGUAAUAGCACAAGUCCUGGGGACUUGAAAUUAGUAAUGCAGGUUGCAGCUGGGCUCCAGAUUUUUUUAGGAGAUUGACAUAACAUGCUUGGUACUGUUAAGUUGUCCUGCAGCAUUUUGACAUUAGUCCUAACUUCCUUUCAGAUGCAGACAGUACAAAUCGGUGGCAAAGGGCACCAGUCCUGGAUGAGGAACUUCCCAUGAGCUGGAGGUCCAGGCAGAUAGCAGCAGUCAAAGCCCAGUGUGCCAGGGAAUCCACUGGGAGUUUGCAUAUCCCCUGUCAGCAGCUGGCUGAUGGACUGGGUUUGCUGUGCUUGUGAGUCCUCUGGAAGUAUUACAGGA